CUGGAGCCAUAAACAUCUAUACAGUGACUCUGUCUGAUUCGAUUCACUGAACCAUUCAAAUGAGUCAUUUGUUUAAAUUCUGAGCUGCUGCAUGAACAUUCAUCAAACAUAUAAGGCUGCAAUUUGGGAAAAAACUUUCAAGCUAAUGCUGCUGAAAUGGAGGUCAAGGGGACUGAAGAGGUGGCUCCAGCUGAAGGGUGGACUUCAGGAGGCAGACACACUCUUAAUCAGCUGAUCCAGACCAGACGGUGGACCUGCACCCAGGAACGACCACAACACAUCCCUGACUGUCAGCGGAGACCAUGUCAGCUAGAUGACAGAUCCCUGUGAAGACCUCACUGAUGGCCCCAGCACAGAUCCUCAGCAAAGACUACGAGAACCAGACAAGCCCUCUGCGCAGACCCUUUUUACCAGCUUCACCUGCUGGCGUGAUAUUACUUCAUGCAGAAGAAGUUGGAUGAAAUAUUCUGAAUGAUAUCAAUCCACAAUCUGACUUGUGAUGCAGCCUGGAAUAAUCACACCACGUUCAUUCGUUUGGCCAGACGAGACUGUUUCUGACUGAGCCGGGUCUUGUUUGGGUUUGGGUUCCUUGUCACUGUUGCCUUUUGUCUUGCUUGGUUGAAGACACCUAAUAUUCAGCAAUAUUAUUGACUUGUCUGCACUGACACCAUUUGAUAAGAACUGAACUGAAUUAUGACACACAAUGUUUUAUAUAUGAAGUUUAUUUGCAAAAACGGAUAACGGAUAAAAUUUUGUUUUUUGUUAUCAUGUUUUUGUUUUAUUGUGUUAGUUAGCUAGUAUUUAUUAGUUAUUCUUUACCUAAUCAAAAU